rnacentral:tRNA from 1 species
GCCCAUGUAGCUCAGGCGGUAGAGCACAUCCAUGGUAAGGAUGGGGUCGCCGGUUCAAAUCCGGCCGUGGGCUCCA